CCCUUAGAUGUUCUGGGCCGCACGCGCGCUACACUGUUCGACGCAGCGAGUCUUAACCUUGACCGAAAGGUUUGGGUAAUCUUCAGCAAAGUCGAACGUGAUGGGGAUCGAUCAUUGCAAUUAUUGAUCGUGAACGAGGAAUUCCUAGUAAGUGCAAGUCAUCAGCUUGCGCUGAUUACGUCCCUGCCCUUUGUACACACCGCCCGUCGCUACUACCGAUUGAAUGGUUUAGUGAGAUCUCUGGAUUGACGCUGGCUAGGGGGCGACCCUUGGCCAGGCUGUCGAGAAACUGCUCAAACUUGAUCAUUUAGAGGAAGUAAAAGCCGUAACA
rnacentral:rRNA from 1 species